rnacentral:rRNA from 1 species
UUUGAUCCUGGCUCAGGAUGAACGCUGGCGGUAUGCUUAACACAUGCAAGUCGAACGGACGUUUUCGGACAACCUACCUUUAGGACGGGGACAACAGCUGGAAACGGCUGCUAAGACCCGAUGUGCCUGUGGGUGAAAUAUUUAUAGCCUGAAGAGGGGCUCGCGUCUGAUUAGCUAGUUGGUGGAGUAACGGUUCACCAAGGCGACGAUCAGUAGCUGGUCUGAGAGGAUGAUCAGCCACACUGGGACUGAGACACGGCCCAGACUCCUACGGGAGGCAGCAGUGAGGAAUUUUCUGCAAUGGGCGAAAGCCUGACAGAGCAAUACCGCGUGAGGGAGGAAGGCUCUUGGGUUGUAAACCUCUUUUCUCAGGGAAGAAAAAAAUGACGGUACCUGAGGAAUCAGCAUCGGCUAACUCCGUGCCAGCAGCCGCGGUAAUACGGAGGAUGCAAGCGUUAUCCGGAAUGAUUGGGCGUAAAGCGUCCGCAGGUGGCUUAUCAAGUCGAUUGUCAAAGGUCCUGGCUCAACUGGGAAGAGGCAGUGGAAACUGAAAAGCUAGAGUGCGGUAGGGGUAGAGGGAAUUCCCGGUGUAGCGGUGAAAUGCGUAGAGAUCGGGAAGAACACCAGUGGCGAAAGCGCUCUACUAGGCCUGCACUGACACUCAGGGACGAAAGCUAGGGGAGCGAAUGGGAUUAGAUACCCCAGUAGUCCUAGCCGUAAACGAUGUGCGCUGG